rnacentral:lncRNA from 1 species
GUUCUUCUAUGGGGAGGAAGACUCGCACCCACUUCGGGCUUCCUGAGUCUCCUCCAAAGCCCUCUUAUUGUUCUUAAAGGGAUUUCAUCCCUCUUCUCGAUGUUUCUCCUCCACUGUCUCCUCUACUUAUAUAUACUUUCAAGCAUGCAUAAGCAUGCUAGUGUAGUCCCUAAAAAAAUUCUUAUUCGGGGAGAGGAUUAACCAAUUACUUCUUAGGCCCCUCUUCAGGGCCA